CAGGAUGGAGUACAGAUAAGGAGCCUUUCUAAGGAGACCACCCGUUAUAAUCAUCCCAAGCCCAACUUGCUGUAUCAGAAGUUUGUGAAGAUGGCUACAUUGACUUCAGGUGGAGAGAAGCCAAACAAAGACUUGGAGAGCUGCAGUGAUGACGACAACCAGGGGUCCAAGUCCCCAAAGAUGUGAGACUUCAUUUUAGCUCUUGGGGAAUGUGGGAAGAGAUGUCUUCAGAUGGCAAGAGAAAGGGCUAAAUCUAAUGCUUGACUGGGGGCUUCUUGGGGGUGGGUGGAACUGUGUUGUACUAAUCUUUGUAUCCCUAGUACCUCAAAAAGUGCCAGGUCCUGAACAAGAAUUCAGUGUUGAAGGAAUGUUUUAGAAGGAGGAGAGGUCAAGCCUUUCCACCAGGUCUGUUUGUAACUGCUGAUCUCCCCUAACAGUCUGACUGAUGAGAUGCUGCUCCAAGCCUGUGAGGGGCGAACAGCACACAAGGCUGCCCGUCUUGGGAUCACAAUGAAGGCCAAGCUUGCUCGCCUAGAGGCCCAGGAGCAGGCCUUCCUGGCUCGUCUCAAAGGCCAGGACCCUGGGGCCCCUCAACUGCAGUCAGAGAGCAAGCCCCCCAAAAAAAAGAAAAAGAAAAGGAGGCAGAAAGAGGAGGAAGAAGCUACAGCAUCUGAAAGGAAUGAUGCAGAUGAGAAGCACCCAGAACAUGCUGAGCAGAACAUCAGAAAAAGCAAGAAGAA
rnacentral:lncRNA from 1 species